GCUCGCUCGGCCGCCCAGCUCCCACCUGCGCCUCUCCGCGGCCCCUCUCCACCGGCCGCUGGGCCCGGAUCCCUUCGGCGCCCCUCUGCACCCACCCCCACGCGCCCUCCACUCGGCUCAGAUCUACCUCCGCGCCUCUCCGCGACCCCGGAACCCCGCGCCCUGUCCGGCCCAUUCCCAGCCGGAUAGACCGCGCUCCCCUCUGUCCGACCUUGGCAACUCCUGCGCGCCCCCUCCCCACCUCUAGUCGCCCCUCGGAGCCGCUUGGUUUCGGGAUCCACCCGCAUCCACCCCUCCAACAACCCUUUCGUAGCCCUCGCCCCUAGUCCAUAGCAGGCGCUGCCCUACCCAGUCCUUGCCGGACACACCGCGACCCCUUUCGUGCUCCCUUGACAACCCUGGCCCCACCUCCACCUGGCGCCCACUCGAAUCCGCCCCUCCCUUCUACCCCCCUGGACCGCCAGACCCCCCGCUUCUGCACCCACUCCCGCCUUCGCCCUUCCCUCCUUCCUCCUCCUCCUCUGCUGCCGAGCGCCCUCUCUUCCCACUCCCUCUCUGUGUAGAAUCACAGGGAGUGACCUUGAGCCGAGAGGGCCUACCUCAUUUUACAGGAGAGGAAAUCCAGCUUCCAUUGAUUUUAGGAAAAGGCCCUAAAACUGGAGGUUUGGCAUGUUUCAAGAAUGGAAACAGAGGACAAAAACGUUCGAAUGUCCUCCUCACCCCACUUGGGUUACAGAAUUCCAUGCCGACAAUUCAUCAGCCCGAUAUAUGGACGCUGUUAUCUGGCUGGGGCUCUGACACUCUAUGCUGGACCAGACCACGCCCUCCAAAGACAUCCUUCUCACCACUUCUGGGCUCUGACAUCACAGGCCAGGCUGCUUAUGACUAUGAGCAUUCUACUCACUCUGUGCAGACUCCAAAACCCUGAGCCACACUGUACUGCCGUCUACAUGGAGAAAUCUUCCUCACUCCACUCAGACUCUGGCACUUGUGCUGGGCAGCUCUCCUCUGCAGAUGCCCUCUUCUUGCAUAUAGUUUAAAUGUAGACCCAACGUGAGUCCCUGGUGGAUUCGAUGGAUUAAAGUGAGGGAAAAAAAGAGAUUUCUCCUGAGCUACUGGGAGAAUAGAAUUGUCAUUAGCUGAGAUUGGGAAGACUAUAAGAGAAACAGGUUGGGUGAAAAUAUUAGAGUUGUUUUGGAAUAAGUUAACUUCGAGAUACCUGUUGGACAUCCAGGCAGAGAAAAUAAGGAAGGAGGCAGAUGUAUAAAUUUUGACCACAGGGUAGAGGUCCAGGCUGGAGACAUAAAUUUGAGAGUUGUCAAUAUGUUUAAAUUUUUGAGAUGGUACAAGCUCACUAGGGAGCAACUUUAGAUAGAGAGGAGAGGUCUGAAAUCUGAGUUCUGAGGUUGUCUAACAUUUUGAGGUUGGAAGAUAUGGAAGAAACAUUGAAAAAACCUGAAAGAGAGGGAGAGGCCAAUUAAGAAGAAAAUUGGGUGAGUAUGGUGUCGUGGAAGUCAAUUGAAGAAUGUGUUUCAAGAAGAAUAUGAUGAAAUGAGUCAAAUUCUGCUGAUAGGUAGGACUGAGAACUGAUUGAAAAUUAUUUCUAGGCUGGGCACAGUGGCUCACGCCUGUAACCCCAGUACUUUGGGAGGCCGAAGUGGGCAGAUCAGAAGGUCAGGAGUUUGAGACCAGCCUGGCCAGCAUGGUGAAACCCUGUCUCCACUAAAAAUACAAAAAAUUAGCCAGGCAUGGUGGCGCCUGCCUGUAGUCCCAGCUACUCAGGAGGCUGGGGCAGGAGAAUCGCUUGAACCUGGCAGGUGGAGGUUGCAGUGAGCUGAGAUCGUGCCACUCUACUCCAACCUGGGUGACAGAAUGAGACUGUCUCAAAAAAAAAAAAAAAAAAAGGAAAAAGAGAAAAAAGAAAAUUACUUCUAGUUGUCAAAAAAAACCCCUUAUGAAAUAAAUUACAUUUCAUUUACAAUUUAUAGAUUUAAAAAAUGAGGAUAAUUUUGCCCCAAAUUCCAUAACUAUUCAGCAGCUAAAUUAGUGAUUUCAAAUUGUACUGGAUGCAUAUAGGAAAUGCUUUCUCUGAGGAGAAACUUCUGGGAGUAGAAUUCAAAUUAUCCAGACAAGGAUAUUAGAGAAAAAAGAAAGAUAAGGUCUAGACAAAAGUCAAGGAACAGAACAGAGAAGGUGGAACUCAGAUACUACAAUGUCAUAUUGUUUAACACUUUGCAAAAGAAACAGAAGAGGGCGCCUUAGAGCUAAGACAAUUUUAUUAGGACGUUCACUUGGAAAGAUAAAUAAGAAUAUCUGAGAAAGCCCUAAGAAAGACGGACAAUGAGGAAGCCUGUACCAUAAGAAAAUAAUAUUGACACAUAUUUUAGUUUAUUCUAUGUCCUCCUCACCCCACUUGGGUUACAGAAUUCCAUACCGACCACUCAUCAGCCUGAUAUAUGGACACUCUUAUCUGGCUGGGGCUCUGAUACUCUAUGCUGGACCAGACCACCCCCUCCACAGACAUCCUUCUCACCACUUCUGGGCUCUGACAUCACAGGCCAGGCUGCUUAUCGCUAUGAGCAUUCUACUCACUCUGUGCAGACUCCAAAACCCUGAGCCACACUGUACUGCCGUCUACAUGGAGACAUCUUCCUCACUCCACUCAGACUGGCACUUGUGCCGGGCAGCUGUCCUCUGCGGAUGCCCUCUUCUUGCAUAUAUUUUAAAUGUAGACCCAACAUGAGUCCCUGGUGGAUUCUGUGCUGCUAUAACAAAAUAUUGAGACUGGAUAACUUAUAAUGAAAAAGAAACAUAUUGGCUCACAGUUCUGGUGGCUGAGAAGUCCAAGAUCAGGUGCUAGCAUCUGGUGGGAGAGAGAGAGAGAGGGAGAGAGAGACAAAGAGACCAUGCCUGAAAGCCCCUUUAUUAAGGCACUAAACCCACUCAGGAGGGUGGAGCCCCAUGGGCCAAAUACUUAACCAAAGAUCCCACCUCCCAACACUGUCUCAAUGGCAUAAAUUUCAACGUAAGUUUUGAUGGGGACAAAUGUUCAAACCCAUGGCAGCACAUGAAUAAAACAGAAUAGAAAAGCCAAAAAUUUUAAAAAAUAAGAAAACCCAAAAAUAAACUUAAUGACAUCUGGAAGUCUAAUAAGUGGUAAAUAUGCCAUCUCAAAUCAAUAGAGAAAAAGAAGACCUUCUUAAUAAAUAGUCCUGUCAUAAAUGGGUAGCCAGUGGAAGAAGAUACAAUCUGUCUUAGUCUGUUUUCCGUUGCUAUAACAGAAUACCUCAGACUGAGUAAUUUAUAAAGAAAAUAAGCUUACUUAGCUCGUGAUUCUGGGGGCUGGGAAGUCCAAGAGCAGGGUGCCAGCAUCUGGUAAGGGCCUUCCUACUACAUCAUAAUAUGACAGAGUGCAUCACAUGGCAAGAGAGCAAGAGCAUGUCAACCUCUCAGGUCUCUGGUCUUCUUAUAAAGCCACCAGUCCCAUUAUGGAGGCCCUACCCUGAUGACUUUAUCUAAUCCUAAUUAUCUCCCAAAGGCCCCACAUCCAAAUGCCACCAAUCUAUAAAUUUGGGAGUUACAUUUCCAACACAUGAAAUUAGGAGGACAUGUUCAAACAAGAGCACCAUCAUAUCUGUUUUUCCACUUAAGAUAAAUUCCAAUGGAUCAAAUAUCUAAUUUUUUGAAAGAAGUAAAGCUAUAUAAAUACUAGAAGAAAAUAUGAUGAAAAUUUUCUAUAAUCAAGAAAUUGGAAACACUUUUCUAACUCUAACUCAAAAUCCAGAUGCAAUACAGGAAAAGACCAAAAUUGGAGGUAUACAAAACAACAAUAACAUUUUUGCAUAGCAAAAGACAUCAUAAGCAAAAUUAAAAGAUAAAUGACAAACCGGGAAUAUGAUUUCCAAUUUAUGUCAUAGACAAUGGGUUAAUGUCCAGUAAUGUGUUCUUCCCGGGAGUGGGGGUCAGGAGGAUGUUAUCGCAUUUGCCAAUUUCCAUAGAGUAAAUACUCCACCAUAGCCAGUGUUAACUUGCCAAUGUAAUAUCAGCUGCACUAAUGCUACAUCAGCGGGACUGCAAAAUUCCUAAAAAUUUAACAGUCAGCACUUGCAAGCUGGCACUAGCCAGCUUUAGCACACUGCUGCAAAUAUUCCUAAUAUAUGAUGGGCUUCUAAAGAUGGAGAAGGGAAGGAAACCCAUCCUAUGGAAGAUAGGCAAGAGAUACAAACACUUUGCAGUUCACACACACACACAAAAUGAAAAUAAAGGACCUUUAAAUAUAUGAAAAUGUUGAAUCGUACUACCCGUAAAAUAAAUGCAAAUUUAAACUAAAAUGAGAUGCCAUUUUUCAACUAUCAGAUUGGGAGAAAAUCUCAAAGUUCAACAAUAUAAUGUGUUUACCAGGCGGUGAGGAAAGAGGCACUCAUAUUUUGCUGGUGGGAAUGCAAAAAAUGGUACCAUCCAUGAGGAGGGUGUCAGCCUUAAGAAUGAAACUGAGGUAAAAUUAGUAUAAAUCAAAAGUGUAUUUGGGCCAAAUUCGAGUACUUUAAUUUCGGAAAUGUAUGUUCAAGUUGCCCUGAAAUAUAUGCUCCAAUUAGCAGCAGUUACAAGUGGGUUUCCAAAGGAAAAAAUGGGGUGGUUCCUAAAUUGAACAUGAGCUAUUGGUUGGCUAUACAUUAUUCUUUAUAUCACUAAUCCCAAGAACAUGAAUAUAAUGGGUGAAGGCCACAUAGUGCAAUUUAUGAUAGCAUUUUAGGUAAUUUAUCAGCUAGUCUGGAAACUACAAGGAAGGAAAGAAAAAACUAAAUGCCAUUAACCAGGCUGGGUGCAGUGGCUUAUGCCUGUAAUCCCAGCACUUUGGGAGUGUGAGGCGGGUGGAUCACUUGAAGCCAGGACUUUGAGAACCAGCCUGGCCAACAAGGUGAAACCCCAUCUCUACGAAAGAAUACAAAAAUUAGCCAGGUGUGGUGGUAUGCACCUGUAAUUACAGCUCCUCGGGAGUCUGAGGCACAAGAAUUGCUUAAACCCAGAAGGCAGAGAUUACAGUGAGCUGAGAUGUCGUCACUGCACUCCAAUCUGGGUGACAGAGCAAUACUCUGUAUCAAAAAAAAAAAAGAGAGAGAGAGAGAGAGGGAAGGAAAGAAAGAGAAAGGAAGAAAAAAAAGAAAGAAAGAAAGAAAAGAAAAGAAAAGAAAAGAAAAGAAAAGAAAAGAAAAAAGAAAUUGCCUUUAAGCAGCUGCCCUGGUGAGGGAGAGGAUGACACCUGGGAAAGGGG
rnacentral:lncRNA from 1 species